rnacentral:rRNA from 1 species
CGGAUUGGAGUCUGCAACUCGACUCCAUGAAGCUGGAUUCGCUAGUAAUCGCGCAUCAGCCAUGGCGCGGUGAAUACGUUCCCGGGCCUUGUACACACCGCCCGUCAAGCCAUGGAAGCCGGGGGUGCCUGAAGUGCGUGACCGCAAGGAGCGCCCUAAGGUAAAACCGGUGACUGGGGCUAAGUCGUAACAAGGUACC